UCUGUCCUAGGUCCGAAUGAAAGCAUCCUAGCAGCUUUAGCACAUCUACUACCGUCAAAUCCCAGCUUUCAAACGCCACCAACAUAACCCCAACUCGAAUUACAUGAGAUGCGGGACUUUAAAGCAAUUUUGUGAAAAAAUGGUCAACACUAAUUCUACAUGAAAAUUACAAAACAAUUGCAUUUGAGCCUGCUUCCCUGACGAUACGCAGAAACAUCCCGUAACAGAGGAAACGAAAAUUGCCUUCAGUCGUAACCAAACAGAGACGCAGCAGUAACAGAGAUUGGAGACUGAUAUACAUCAUUUGUUGUACUCAACAUCACAAAAAUUGCUGAACAAUUAUUAUGAGAUUACCCUGGUUUACUACGAUCUAUCACAAUGGAUUUUGCUUUCAAAUAGAUUAUGGCAUUAUCAGCUGCCAAUCAGACUUCGAACGAUACCAACGCAAGGUCCACUCAAACAAACCAUAAAAUUCUAUCCGAUCUAAAUUCAUCUAGCUGGGUCGUUCUCUUCAGGUGACCUGCUUAUGGCCGGCCUUGUGUACGUGACUAUCCAUAAAUUACUUCCUGCUUGUUGUGCUUGUGUCCCACUGUAAUAACCGCCAGCUAAUUAUUGACAGAAGGUUGGCUCUCGUCAGCAUGAGUUCGGUUUCAGCAGCAUAAACAAAUCAUACCAUCAAACAACGUUAACUUGAAGGCUACUAUUAGAAGACAGCUAGUCCCUUGUGCACGUUAGCAACAGUUGACAGUAAGCCAAAGCAGGGUUUGUGAAAAGCGCAAACAGAAUACUACCCGAGCGCUCUUCACACCUCUUAUUCGGCGUAUAAUGCUUAUUUUUCUUAUGUACCACAUACAUAAGCCAACAUUAAUCAUACUGUAAUUAGCCUAAUGCACAAACAAUAGCAACCUAGAGCAGAAGCGUGCCGAACUUGAUUCGUAAUUCCCAGAGUGUAUAUCCAGCGGCGCAGAUGUAAAAGAGGUCCAAACGAAUUAUUCGUACAUUUAUAGAAAGCCUAUUAUCGACUUCCGGUAGCUAUAACCGCCUACAAGUUGGUCCGGCAGGUUGAGCUACAGCACGACAUUGAUGGUGACCGCUGCAGAAGCUAGGCUGUCACACCUCACUCGGCGCUCUCCAACCGGCGAACACCUUACUGCAUAGAAUUACGGAAGGUAGUCAAGCAGGAGCCCUCAGUCACCAGCCCAGAUUCGUUCAGAAAAGCGUACGCACUAAGGGAAAUCGAAAGGGCUUUAGUGACGGGGAUGAAUUAGGGAUGGGCGCAAAGGCGGCGAACAAUAUUAUCGAUCCUAUCGAUGCCUUGCUCUUCACCGAAACCCGUUGUCUCUGGGUGGGGUCUAGACAGACCUGCUGGCAAAGUAGAGUUCCGGCCUUUAAUUCUCCUUCAUCGCUGCGCGUGAAUUUUUAUGCCUUCGGGCUCUGUGUAUCGAAGGUGAAUCUGUUUAAGGACAAAAGCAAAGAAACCUAACAUGAAUGGACAUACUUGAAAACACUUUAGAGUAGGAAUUUUGCACCGGAGCUGUACUGAACGACCGGAUUAUGAAAAUCGAUCCGAGAUAUUUACCUAAUAUAUAUUUUUUCACGUAUUCCGAUAUUUAAAGCACCAUUUCAGACGGCUGGCUUUCAACCAGUCACGUGGUUCUUAGUUUACUAAACAAAUCGGUCACCACUAGACUAUUACAGCCAGACAAAGAAUGGACACAUAGUAUGACGACCAUGGCAUCUGGCAUAUGGAGGCAGGCCAAUUUAGUGGUAUUGUGUGGUAUAUCUCUCUUUCUUGUCUACUCACAUUCUCAUCCUAAAACAGUGACAUAGUUUAUAUAAUUUUUAUAAUGUUAUUCACUUGAAUCGAUGAUCGGUAAGUGCAAAAUGAGCCAACAAAAACAAAACCGUUUGCUCAAAAAAGGGAAGUACUUAAAUUAAAAGGUACUCUACAGAAAAAAAAACAUAGACAAACGUUCUAUAUCAGUACAUUUCAUAUAUGCAGCAAAUUCAUAGUGACUAUAGGAAGAAUACAAAGUAGAGCUUGUUCGUCGCAAUAAACAUUUCUCACUGCGUUCUAUUUUUAAGCUCUUUAUUGUGAGAUCAAUAAAGUGUCACGUUUAAACUUGUGGGUCGUCAAAAUAUGGGACCGGCAGCAAUUACAAUCGUUUGGA